AGAAUCAACGCUGGCGGCGUGCCUCAGACAUGCAAGUCGAACGAUUAAAGCUCUCUUCGGAGAGUGUAUAGAGUGGCGCACGGGUGAGUAACACGUAAGUAAUCUACCCUCGAGUGGGGAAUAACGUCCGGAAACGGACGCUAAUACCGCAUAAUGCAGCGGCACCGCAAGGUGACAGUUGUUAAAGAUUUAUCGCUUGAGGAGGAGCUUGCGGCAGAUUAGCUAGUUGGUAAGGUAAUGGACUUACCAAGGCUACGAUCUAGUAACCGGUCUAAGAGGACGGUCGG
rnacentral:rRNA from 1 species